rnacentral:lncRNA from 1 species
CAGCAGAGGAGAUGACUAUAAAAACUUAGUCCAAAGCCAACUCAACGUCUUUAUUUUCUAAGCUUUGUUGGAACACAUUAUACCACAAGUAAUUUGCAACAUGUUGUCUGUUUUAACAGUGGACCUGUGUAAUGCCGUUAUCCAUGUUUAAAGGAGUUUGAUCAAAGCCAAACUGUCUACAUGUAAUUAACCAAGGAAAAGCCUUUCAAGACUUUACUGUUAACUGUUUCUCCCGUCUAGGAAAUGCUGUACUGCUCACUAGUUAGGAAUUACUUACACGUUUUGUUUUGAAGACCUAAGAGAUGCUUUUUGGAUAUUUAUAUUGCCAUAUUCUUACUUGGAUGCUUUGAAUGACUACAUACAUCCAGUUCUGCACCUAUGCCCUCUGGUAUUGCUUUUUAACCUUCCUGGAAUCCAUUUUCUAAAAAAUAAAGACAUUUUCAGAUCUGAGAGCCACA